ensembl:miRNA Mir217 microRNA mir-217
UCAACACAGUUGUCACAGUUUUUGAUGUCGUAGAUACUGCAUCAGGAACUGAUUGGAUAAGACAAGGUCACCAUCAGUCCCUAAUGCAUUACCUUCAGCAUCUAAAAAAC